GUGUGCAGAGAUAUUUUCAAGUAGGUUACAUUUUGGUGCGAAACUGGGGUCGGCGCUUUUCACCCUCCUGUAUUACUCCUCUAAGUUUUACCAUGACCCGGAAGGAAAAUAGGAGAAUGUAGUGCCUUGUUUAAAUGCACUGAUUUGUCUGUGCUAAUUUAUUCAGGGUGACUUGUGACAGCUUAAAUGAAAGAUCAGACAUUUUACUUUAUUGCCAUUUGUUUUUUGUCCUCAAUCUGCACAUGCUAUUGACUCCAGCCUUUCAUGAUUUGACCCCAAGUUCAAGGCUGUUUAGUGUAUUUCAGCUCGAAAAUUCCGGUGACCGUUGUUGACAGUGGAUACAGCAAAAUUGAAAUGCUCGAUCCAGACCGAUAUUUUGCUGGGCACAACCUUCAAGAAAUAGAAGCAUUGGUGUUAUUUCAAAUGACAUCACGACUGCCUUAGAUUAAAACUUGAAGGAGGUGACAUUCCCCAGAAAAGUUGUUCACCAUACCAUCCCAUGUUGGGUUGCCCCCCAGUCCAGAUCAACAGUUUGUUGAGGAAAAGCUUGGAAUUCAGUUGAUGCCUAUUCUUGCUGUGAAGAGGAGCAAUCUGAACUGAAGGGGAGAACAGACUCCAAAGAAGAGUAGAUGUGAUGACACCAAGAAAGGUAUUAGCUGAUGGGUAUAGUAUAUGGGACUAAUAAACUCAAGAUGAAUCAUAAUUUGGUAUGCAAAUGCUAAGUAUGAGGUUGUGUCAGUUUCUCAUUUGGCUUCAGAUAUGGCAUUUUCUCACGUCAUUCAUUUUUCUGAAAUGGUUUAUUGUCUCAGUUGAUAAAUGCUA